rnacentral:rRNA from 1 species
ACGCUGGCGGCGUGCUUAACACAUGCAAGUCGAACGAGAAUCUACAGAUCGAGGAUUCGUCCAAGUGAAGUAGAGGACAGUGGCGGACGGGUGAGUAACGCGUGAGGAACCUGCCUUUCAGAGGGGGACAACAGUUGGAAACGACUGCUAAUACCGCAUGACACAUUGGGGUCGCAUGGCUCUGAUGUCAAAGAUUUAUCGCUGAAAGAUGGCCUCGCGUCUGAUUAGCUAGUUGGUGAGGUAACGGCCCACCAAGGCGACGAUCAGUAGCCGGACUGAGAGGUUGACCGGCCACAUUGGGACUGAGAUACGGCCCAGACUCCUACGGGAGGCAGCAGUGGGGAAUAUUGGGCAAUGGGCGCAAGCCUGACCCAGCAACGCCGCGUGAAGGAAGAAGGCUUUCGGGUUGUAAACUUCUUUUGUCAGGGACGAGUAGAAGACGGUACCUGACGAAUAAGCCACGGCUAACUACGUG